GAUGAAGAACGUAGCGAAAUGCGAUACGUAGUGUGAAUUGCAGAAUUCAGUGAAUCAUCGAAUCUUUGAACGCACAUUGCACCUCUCGGUAUUCCGAGAGGUAUGCCUGUUCGAGCGUCAUUUGUACCCUCAAGCUCUGCUUGGUGUUGGGUGUUUGUUCCGCCUCUGUGUGUGAACUCGCCUCAAAACAAUUGGCAGCCGGCGUACUUGUUUCGGAGCGCAGCACAUUUUGCGAUCCAGAUCAACGUACAGCGGCAUCCAAGAAGCCUUAUUUAACGCUCUUGACCUCGGAUCAGGUAGGGAUACCCGCUGAACUUAAGCAUAUCAAUAAGCGGAGGA
rnacentral:misc_RNA from 1 species